UGAUAUUCACAAUACUCUGACGCUCUGAUGAGGAGGGGAAGAGAAGGCAGAGCUGUGAAUUAAAAGCACCUGUGUAUGUGAGGCAUACAGAGAAAGUUGGUUUCUCACAGUUUCAUCUUGUGAGUAAGUGGUGCUAAGGACCUGCUCCUUGGUUCCCUCUCCUGUGCUUUCAGGGUGAGUUAGAUGGAUCUGGCAUUCACAGCUUGUUAAUCACCAGAACCCCAGAAUGGAGUCCCACAGAGAGAGUAUCAGUGAGUGCUCAACCUCUCAGAGGGAAGACUUGUGGUCCUCAGUGUCACCAAGGUCUGUGAGAGUGAACAACACUGUGAGAGAGC